rnacentral:rRNA from 1 species
GAGUUUGAUCCUUUAUGAGGACGAACGCUGGCGGCGUGCCUAAUACAUGCACUUUGAACGCACUCUCGUUUAGAUUGAAGGAGCUUGCUCCUGAUUGAUAAACAUUUGAGUGAGUGGCGGACGGGUGAGUAACACGUGGGUAACCUGCCCUAAAGUGGGGGAUAACAUUUGGAAACAGAUGCUAAUACCGCAUAAAACCUAACACCGCAUGGUGUAGGGUUGAAAGAUGGUUUCGGCUAUCACUUUAGGAUGGACCCGCGGUGCAUUGGUUAGUUGGUGAGGUAAAGGCUCACCAAGACCGUGAUGCAUAGCCGACCUGAGAGGGUAAUCGGCCACACUGGGACUGAGACACGGCCCAGACUCCUACGGGAGGCAGCAGUAGGGAAUCUUCCACAAUGGACGAAAGUCUGAUGGAGCAACGCCGCGUGAGUGAAGAAGGUUUUCGGAUCGUAAAACUCUGUUGUUGGAGAAGAAUGUAUCUGAUAGUAACUGAUCAGGUAGUGACGGUAUCCAACCAGAAAGCCACGGCUAACUACGUGCCAGCAGCCGCGGUAAUACGUAGGUGGCAAGCGUUGUCCGGAUUUAUUGGGCGUAAAGCGAGCGCAGGCGGUUUCUUAAGUCUGAUGUGAAAGCCUUCGGCUCAACCGAAGAAGUGCAUCGGAAACUGGGAAACUUGAGUGCAGAAGAGGACAGUGGAACUCCAUGUGUAGCGGUGAAAUGCGUAGAUAUAUGGAAGAACACCAGUGGCGAAGGCGGCUGUCUGGUCUGUAACUGACGCUGAGGCUCGAAAGCAUGGGUAGCAAACAGAAGUAGAUACCCUGGUAGUCCAUGCCGUAAAC